rnacentral:rRNA from 2 species
CGAACGAGUUCUCGUUGAUGAUCGGUGCUUGCACCGAGAUUCAACAUGGAACGAGUGGCGGACGGGUGAGUAACACGUGGGUAACCUGCCCUUAAGUGGGGGAUAACAUUUGGAAACAGAUGCUAAUACCGCAUAGAUCCAAGAACCGCAUGGUUCUUGGCUGAAAGAUGGCGUAAGCUAUCGCUUUUGGAUGGACCCGCGGCGUAUUAGCUAGUUGGUGAGGUAAUGGCUCACCAAGGCGAUGAUACGUAGCCGAACUGAGAGGUUGAUCGGCCACAUUGGGACUGAGACACGGCCCAAACUCCUACGGGAGGCAGCAGUAGGGAAUCUUCCACAAUGGACGCAAGUCUGAUGGAGCAACGCCGCGUGAGUGAAGAAGGCUUUCGGGUCGUAAAACUCUGUUGUUGGAGAAGAAUGGUCGGCAGAGUAACUGUUGUCGGCGUGACGGUAUCCAACCAGAAAGCCACGGCUAACUACGUGCCAGCAGCCGCGGUAAUACGUAGGUGGCAAGCGUUAUCCGGAUUUAUUGGGCGUAAAGCGAGCGCAGGCGGUUUUUUAAGUCUGAUGUGAAAGCCCUCGGCUUAACCGAGGAAGCGCAUCGGAAACUGGGAAACUUGAGUGCAGAAGAGGACAGUGGAACUCCAUGUGUAGCGGUGAAAUGCGUAGAUAUAUGGAAGAACACCAGUGGCGAAGGCGGCUGUCUGGUCUGUAACUGACGCUGAGGCUCGAAAGCAUGGGUAGCGAACAGGAUUAGAUACCCUGGUAGUCCAUGCCGUAAACGAUGAAUGCUAGGUGGUUGGGAGGGUUUCCGCCCUUCAGUGCCGCAGCUAACGCAUUAAGCAUUCCGCCUGGGGGAGUACGACCGCAAGGUUGAACUCAAGGAAUUGACGGGGGCCCGCACAAGCGGUGGAGCAUGUGGUUUAUUCGAAGCAACGCGAGAGCUUACCAGUCUUGACAUCUUUUGAUCACUGAGAGAUCAGUU